rnacentral:rRNA from 1 species
CCUACAGGGGGCAGCAGUGAGGAAUAUUGGUCAAUGGCCGAGAGGCUGAACCAGCCAAGUCGCGUGAGGGAAGAAUGUCCUAUGGAUUGUAAACCUCUUUUGUCAGGGAGCAAAGUCACCCACGUGUGGGUGUUGGAGAGUACCUGAAGAAAAAGCAUCGGCUAACUCCGUGCCAGCAGCCGCGGUAAUACGGAGGAUGCGAGCGUUAUCCGGAUUUAUUGGGUUUAAAGGGUGCGUAGGCGGGUUAUCAAGUCAGCGGUAAAAUCGUGGAGCUCAACUCCAUCCAGCCGUUGAAACUGGCAAACUGGAGUGUGUGAGAGGAUAGUGGAAUUCCAGGUGUAGGAGUGAAAUCCGUAGAUAUCUGGAGGAACAUCAGUGGCGAAGGCGACUAUCUGGCACAUAACUGACGCUGAGGAGCGAAAGCGUGGGUAGCAAACAGGAUUAGAUACCCGGGUAGUC